UUGAUCCCGCCGGACCCGACUGCUAUCGGAUUGAGAUUUAGCCAUGCGAGUCGAACGUCCCCCUGUUGCGGGGGGCGUGGCGUACGGCUCAGUAACACGUAGUCAACCUGCCCUGGAGACAAGGACAACCCCGGGAAACUGGGAUUAAUCCUUGAUAGGUCAUCUCAUCUGGAAGGAGAGAUGGCUUAAAGGGGUACGCGGGCUUCUUCCGCGAAUUCGCUCCAGGAUGGGACUGCGUCCGAUCAGGCUGUUGGCGGGGUAAUGGCCCACCAAACCUGUAACCGGUACGGGCCUUGAGAGAGGUGGCCCGGAGAUGGACACUGAGAGAAGGGUCCAGGUCCUACGGGGCGCAGCAGGCGCGAAACCUUCGCAAUGCGCGAAAGCGUGACGAGGUUAAUCCGAGUGACUCCCGCUUAGGGGGUCUUUUGUCAGCUGUAAAUAGGCAGGCGAAUAAGGGGAGGGCAAGCCUGGUGUCAGCCGCCGCGGUAAUACCAGCUCCUCGAGUGGUCGGGGCGAUUAUUGGGCCUAAAGCAUCCGUAGCCGGUUCCGUAGGUCCUCUGUUAAAUCCAACCGCUUAACGGUUGACCUGCAGAGGAUACCGCGGGACUAGGAGGCGGGAGAGGCGGACGGUACUCCGCGUGUAGGGGUAAAAUCCUUUGAUCCGCGGAAGACCACCAGUGGCGAAGGCGGUCCGCCAGAACGCGCUCGACGGUGAGGGAUGAAAGCUGGGGGAGCGAACCGGAUUAGAUACCCGGGUAGUCCCAGCCGUAAACGAUGCUAGCUAGAUGAUUCAUUCGCAAGUCGCGAAUGAAGUGUCGCAGGGAAGCCGUUAAGCUAGCCGCCUGGGGAGUACGGUCGCAAGACUGAAACUUAAAGGAUUGGCGGGGGAGCA
rnacentral:rRNA from 1 species